CCAAAAACGGAGUAAUAUCCUUUUUAGAAAAGUUUCUACUAAACUUGAUAGAUAAAUUAUUAUUUAUGUUUCUAAAGAUUUAUGGAAAUUUAAGUACCCCCUCCAGUCUAAAACAUUAAAAAUUAUAUAAAUAUAAAUUUAGUAAAACUAAAAUGUUAAGGUAAACACGGUGCCAGCAACCGCGGUCAAACCUUUGUUAACAAAUAAUUUAAAAAUCUGCUUACAUAUAAAAUUUUUAUACGUGUGGUUUACAGUGAAAUGCAACUACAUCCUUUAAUUUUACAAAAUUUUAUAUUUUAGUGAAAUAAGUUAAAAAACUAGGAUUAGAGACCCUAUUAUUCUUAUAUUUAAUAAAAGUAGAUUGAGGAGUAAAAGAUAUUAAGAAACUCAAAAGUCAUGGCGGUUGUUAAAACUAAUCAGGGGAGCUUACCAAGUAAUUGACAACCACCAAGAAUUUUUCUCUUUCACUAAAAGUUUGUAUGCCGUCGUCAGAAAUUUUUCUAAGAAAAAUUUUCCUUAUAGCAUAAUUUAUUUAAGACAGAUCAAGGUGCAACUAAUGUGAAAGAUUAGGCGAGCUACAAUAACAAUAUAAUAUCGGAUAUAGACAUAAAAAGUCAACUGAAGUUGGACUUGAAAGUAAUUCCAAAAUAAUAAUUAAGCACUGAAUAUACAUUUUAACAGUGC
rnacentral:rRNA from 1 species